AUGAGAUGGAAGCGGAUAGAGCUAGCGUAUCUGGCCUGGAUUCAGCCGUAGGUUUGUUAAUGCCCGGAGUGUUCGGUCUCCAGAUUGGGAUCGGCGUUUGGGUUGUUGGCUAACUUAUGGUGCAUUUUCAGGUGGUGUGCGCCGAGAGCCCUGGGAUGGCUUCAUGAAUCUAGUCUUGAGGCCAGCUUGCUGGUACCCAGAUUGGACUAGUGUUGUUCAUCCUAGGGUUUGUUUGUUUCUGACAUGGCAUACGGGCUCGGGUGGGGUUGAGCUGGAGGUCGGUUACGAUCGCAUGCGAUACGUGCUGUGCGUUCAGUUCGGUCCUAUUCGAGCUCUCAUGGCUAUUCUCGGUGUAAAAGCUGGUCACCUAUCCGACCCGUCUUGAAACACGGACCAAGGAGUUUAUCGUGUGCGCGAGUCAUUGGGUGUUUAAAACCCAAAGGCGCAAUGAAAGUGAAUGCAUCCGCAAGGAGCUGACGUGCGAUCUUAGACACCUCGGUGUCCGAGAGCAGCAUGGCCCCAUCCUGACUGCAUGCAGUGGGGUGGAGGUAGAGCGUACACGGUGAGACCCGAAAGAUGGUGAACUAUUCCUGAGCAGCAUGAAGCCAGA
rnacentral:rRNA from 1 species